rnacentral:tmRNA from 1 species
GGGGGCGAUCAGGAUUCGACGACGGUUACGAAACCUAAGGUGCAUGUCGAGCGUGUAGUGAUGCUCGUUAAUCCAAACACUACAAACGUAUUAGUUGCUAACGAUAAUAGCUACCACGGAGCUAUGGCCGCCUAAAAACUGCCUGCUCCCGAUCACUCUGUUUUGUCUAUUGGGUGGAAAUGAUCGCAAUCGAAAAUAGAAUCGUCACACCAGUUUUCCUGUAGCUGUUGGAUUAAAACUUUCAGGAUCGCGUAGUUCACCCUGACCGUUGGGUCGUGCUGCGUUAAUUUAAAAACGGAAACUAAGCAUGUAGAGCCGAAGGCGUAGAGCUGGCGGACGCGGGUUCAAGUCCCGCCGCCUCCACCA